UAGAUCUGAGGAGAAAAGAUGCGCAAGGAGCAAAUCUGUUAGGAAAAUGAAAGAGACAUCUCCCAGUGUGCAAGAUAGGAAUCCGGAAGGAACCCCAAUGUGGCCUCGGUGCAAAGGUAGCAGCUAUGAACAGCUCUGAUGUCCAUAUGAAAGAAAAAGGUAUAUCCAGGAGAGGUGCAAGGGCAAGGCAGGGAACACACAAACUUAGAGGACAACGCAGCACCAAAAAAAAAAAAAAAUUCGAGGAUCCCAGAUCUGGCA